UACGGAGGGGGCGCGCGUUAUUCGGAAUUAUUGGGCGUAAAGGGCGCGUAGGCGGCCCGGUAAGUCAAAGGUGAAAUCCCUCGGCUCAACUGAGGAACUGCCUUUGAAACUGUCGGGCUUGAGGCCGGGAGGGGGUAGCGGAAUUCCCAGUGUAGAGGUGAAAUUCGUAGAUAUCGAGAGGAACAUCGGAGGCGAAGGCGGCUGGCUGGACGAUUACUGACGCUGAGACGCGAAAGCGUGGGGAGCAAACAGG
rnacentral:rRNA from 1 species